rnacentral:rRNA from 1 species
AACGAACGCUGGCGGCAGGCCUAACACAUGCAAGUCGAACGCCGUAGCAAUACGGAGUGGCAGACGGGUGAGUAACACGUGGGAACGUACCCUCGGUUCGGGAUAACUCAGGGAAACGUUGAGCUAAUACCGGAUACGUCCGAGAGGAGAAAGAUUUAUUGCCGAGGGAUCGGCCCGCGUCUGAUUAGCUUGUUGGUGAGGUAACGGCUCACCAAGGCGACGAUCAGUAGCUGGUCNGAGAGGA